rnacentral:rRNA from 1 species
UUCGGGACGCCGGCGAGUGGCGAACGGGUGAGUAACACGUGGAGACCUGCCCUGAGGUGGGGGAUAACAGCUAAAAAUGGCUGCUAAUACCGCAUACGCCUUACGAGGGAAAGAUUUAUUGCCUCAGGAGGGUUCCGCGUCGGAUUAGCUUGUUGGUGGGGUAACGGCCUACCAAGGCGAUGAUCCGUAGCUGGUCUUAGAGGAUGAUCAGCCACACUGGGACUGAGACACGGCCCAGACUCCUACGGGAGGCAGCAGUGGGGAAUAUUGCGCAAUGGAGGCAACUCUGACGCAGCGAUGCCGCGUGGGUGAAUAAGGCCUUAGGGUUGUAAAGCCCUUUCAGUGGGAAAGAUGAUGACGGUACCCACAGAAGAAGCCCCGGCUAACUCCGUGCCAGCAGCCGCGGUAAUACGGAGGGGGCGAGCGUUGUUCGGAAUUAUUGGGCGUAAAGAGCGCGUAGGCGGUUUAUUAAG